AGUUACUGAGCCUGGCCUCAAGCUUGGGAUCCUCCCGAGUCUCCAGGAUUACAGACUUGCUCCACUGCACCUGGCCUAGGGAUUUUCAUAUAUAUUUGCUUCAUUUGAUCUCCAGAGCAACAUGCUGCAGUCUGUAUGCUUAUAAUUACCAUUUUCCAUACAAAUAGAAAACUAUGUUUCAAAGAAAUGAAAUGAUCUACUCUUGGAAUUUUAAUCUGAACCUGUUUGACUUCAAAGCCCUACCAAUCUCCAUGUUGUUACCCAAUCCAGAGGGGUUAUGUUCAUAAAAUGUCCUUAUUUCACAAUAUUAUAGGAAGCAUUCUUAGCCUGGUUUCUUCCAAGUUUCCAGAGCUCCUGAUUUACUUUCAGUGCCCAAAGCAAGAGGCAACUCCCUUCAGAGAUUUCAAAAGAGUUAAAUGAUAAUUUCUCCUGCUUCUCAUCACAGCAUCCUUUUUCUUUUUAAACUGCCUGCAUCGGGGCUUAGUGACAAUAGAUGAAAAACGAAAAAGGAUGCCAGACAAUGGCAACCUUCAGGGUAGCAAGAAUGCCUUUUUUAGUAGGCAGCUUCUAAGGUCUCAGUACAAUGAGUGCUGUUGGCCUGGAUCACCCAGUCAGGAGGGUAAAUUGGCAGUGCAAUUUCUGCCUCCUGCCCAGAGGCGCCUAUUGUCUUCACACUGGUCCUUGGCACCCUAGGGCAUCCCUCAUCCCUGCACUGUGGUGUCCCAAUUAGGCUUACUCUGUGUGGCUGGCACCCAUCAACCAAAAUUAUUCCUCUCUGUUCAGCUACAGAAUUGUCAUCUCUAUUUCCAACUGGCAACAGCUUGUCACCCAUCUGAGAUAUAUUUCCAUCUAAACAAAGCUCUAUGCCAGCCCUUUGCAUAAAAAUGUUCAAUGUUUUCCCAUUGUAGCCAGAAUAAAACCCAAACUCCUUGCCUUGGCCUCUGAGGCCUUCUAUGGUCUGGCCCAGUCUAGCACAUCAUGCGCUAUUACUUCCCUUCUUACUAAUGGGACAACCCAGUUAUAUUCCUUCAUUUUUCACAAAUACUCCAAAAUCAUUUUCGUUUUCUUUUUCUGCAAUCUGGCUUCUUCUCCUCACACAGGGCUUACCUCGGUUGAAAACUAGAGAGUCUUUGCUCACCCAUCAACCUUCUACAUCUUCCUUCUCACUCACCUGACUUUGCUUUAUUCAUUUUCUAUUUUUGAUACUGGGCGUCAGAUCCAGAGACUUGCACAUGCCAGGCAGCAGCUCUACCACAGAGCUACAUCACCAGCCUGACCUCACUCUAAUCACCUCACCCUUUUUUUUUUGGUACUGGGGACUGAACUCAGGGGCACUUAACCACUGAGCCACAUUCCCAGCCCUUUUUUGUAUUUUAUUUAGAAAUAGGGUCUCACUGAGUUGCUUAGGGUCUCACUAAUUUGCUGAGGCUGGCUUUGACCUUGAGAUCUUCCUGCCUCAGCCUCCUGAACUGUUGGGAUUACAGGCACAUGCCAUUAUGCCCGGCUCUAUUUUUUUUUAAAGAAAAAAAAUUUAAAAAUAAAGUUUCAGCCAUAGUGGUACAAAUCUCUAAUUCCAACUACUAGGGAGACUGAGGCAGGAGGAUCACAAGUUUGAGGCCAACUUCAACACUUUGUGAGACCCUCACCAAAAUAAAAAAUGAAAAGGACUGAGGAUGUAACUUAGUGGUAAAGUUCUCCUGGGUUGAAUCCCCAAUACUAUACCCCCACCUUACCCUACCC
rnacentral:lncRNA from 1 species